UUUAAUGGCCGCAGUAAUUUAACUGUGCGAAGGUAGCAUAAUCAAUAGUUUUUUAAUUGAAAGCUUGUAUGAAAGGUUGGACGAGAUAAUAUCUGUCUUUAUUAUAAUUAUAUUAGAAUUUAAUUUUUAAGUUAAAAAGCUUAAAUUUUUUUAAAAGACGAGAAGACCCUAUAGAGUUUUAUAAUUUAGAAUUUAUAAUUAUUUUAGAUUAAUUAAUUUUAUAGACUUAUAUUUAUUUUAUUGGGGUAAUAGAAAGAUUUAUAUAAUUCUUUUUUUUUUUAUUAUUUAUUUAUAUAUGUAUGAUCCUUUAUUAAAGAUUAUAAGAUUAAAUUACCUUAGGGAUAACAGCGUAAUUUUUUUUGAAAGUUCUUAUUGAUAAAAAAGAUUGCGACCUCGAUGUUGGAUUAAAGAUUAAUUUAGGUGCAAAAGUUUAAAUUUUUGGUCUGUUCGACCAUUAAAUCUUUACAUGAUCUGAGUUCAGACCGGUGUGAGCCAGGUCGGUUUCUAUCUUUAUUUAUUUAAAAUAUUUUAGUACGAAAGGACCAAAUAUUUAUUAUAUUAAUUUAUAUUUUGAAUAUUAUU
rnacentral:rRNA from 1 species